CAUUCGUGGCUGGAUCGACGACUUUCACCUUUUGAUUUUAAUCGUUAUCUAUGAAGCGAAUUGGAUGUGAAGCAGCAUAUUACCUCGACGUGUUCGCAGGGAUAGCCAACAGUGGAACAGCGUACUUCAAAAUUAUCUGUCGGUAACGUCACAAACGUACCUGGACUGCAUUCCGUCAUUCCGUACAAAAUCUGUGUGGAAUAUUUCAGCCAUUAGUCUUCAUCUACGACAAAUCGAUCCAUAAUACCUGUGGACAGGCUUUUCAGGUCGUAUUGUUUCAAAUCCGGCAGGCUUAGGAUGUCGACAAACAUGGUCGGUGUACCAUACAGAGAUGUACAUCUACAAUGAAAUACGCUGAAGACAGGACUAGGGAAAACACAAGUAGCCCCAUGUGAAGCAGCAGCCAGUACCCCGAGACCGCACCCAAAACAAUGAUAGAGUGGAACCGGAACACAGAUGGUAUGCGGCUGAUGAAGGAAGCUAUGGAUUAAAGAUGACUGUUAAUCAGUCUCGUAAGCAUUUGUACCUUUUGGUGAUAUCCGAUUCUCAUUCCAACAAGGUAGGAAUUAUUGACAAUGUUUAAAUGGGAAAGCGUUGCUCCUUUAGGAUUUCCAGUCGUUCCCUUACAUAGAAAAGGAGGAAUUUAUUAAAUUAAACCUGUCCAACAUGGUAAUUCAUAGCAGCCAAAAUGGUAAACAAAAUACGAUGGCCUACCGAUGUGAACUGAAUGUUAGCCGCCUCAUCCACCUGAAUCUUUCGCUGAGUAUUAUGAACUUCAGCUAUCAGAGCUGGAGUGGCCAAAUCCAUCAAAUCCUUCCAUCGUAAAACUCCUCUAUAAACAGAGUAGGUACCAGGGGACUUGACAUCACUAAUUCAUCGCUAAGUCUUUGUUGAUCACUGGUGCAGGAUGUAUCGAGCUCCGGAAUUAUCUGACGUAAGAUGUCCAUGAGAUUCGUUUUUCGGAAGGUCUUAGCCACAACCAAGGCUUUGACUCCAACUUUAUUUAAUGCAUACUGUAGUUCUGCAGCCUGAUUCAACAAAAUGAAAUACGAAGGGUUACAAGAAUUAAUCCUGAUCUUGCUGCCGCCCAUUGCGUCAAAACCCAUUCAUAGGAAUUGGGGCCCCAAAUUCCAAUUCGAUCUCCUCGUUUUAAGCCCAAAGAUAAUAGUCCGGCAGCUGCCUUAUCUGCCUGAAAUGUAAAACCUUUUUACUUAUUUCGGGUCCAGUUCAAAUUUUCUACUAUGCUUACAUCAGUCAGCACUUGAUGGAACGUUGUUCUGAUGUCUUGGUGAACAAACACAGCAGCUGUUCGAUCUCCAAAGCGAUCCGCAGCUUGUUGCAACAGUUGACCCAAGCCGAAUACCCUUGGGAACAAAAAUGCAAAGUCGUCUGCGUUGUUAACAACAUUCCCCAGAUUAUUGACACCUAAAGGAAGUGAACGUAUAAUAUUGCAGACGCAAAAUGUUGGAUCGGCCCAGUUUUAUCACCUCGAACAUUACCAUACUAUUUGCAUUACCACACGUAAUCAUGGUGUUCCAGUAGGACAGCUUUGCAGCUACUAUAUUUCAAAACUUGCUAGAACAUUGUGUGUUGUCAUGCAAACAGUAUGGUACUCUGUGACAUGAAGGAAGUGCCAUGUAUUAAAACAAAGAAUCCAAUCAGAUCUCUUAUUGUAACAAGAUUUGCAACAAUGGUGGUGUCUGAAUAUUCCCAAUUAUUCCGUUCCGGUGUAAUGAAAGAAACUGUAAGGGAUAGCAGAUUUGAAAAGAGUCAUAUUGCUUGUCUAUGCCAUUAGCAAAGAAGACGCUGACAUGUUUGGCUAAGGUUCCUAACUUGAAAUUUAUUUGCCGUUCCGAGACGCUAAGUGGACUCGCGUGAAAAAAAAAGUUGAAUGAGAGUAAGUGAGUGCUUUAAAGAACUUUUCAAUGGCUAUUGAAUUUUAUUUUAGUUACAAAAACAAAACAUGUUACAAACAAAUUUAUAGUUGUUUUUGCUUCUCCUCCGUCUUUCCCUUCCUUUUUCGAAAUCACCAUGUAAGAUUGUCUGUUAACAAUGAAAUGCAUUCCUCCCUCCGUCUCCAAUGCAUUGGUAACUGCACCUUCAAGAAAAUAUGUGGAGAAUAGUUAAUACAAAAUGACACAAUUUGUAAUGAAA